GCAGCAGGCGCGAAACCUUUACACUGCACGCCAGUGCGAUAAGGGGAUCCCAAGUGCGUAGGCAUAGAGCCUACGCUUUUGUCCACCCUAGGGUGGUGGACGAAUAAGGGCUGGGCAAGACCGGUGCCAGCCGCCGCGGUAAUACCGGCAGCCCAAGUGAUGGCCGAUCUUAUUGGGCCUAAAGCGUCCGUAGCUGGCCGCACAAGUCCAUCGGGAAAUCCACCUGCUCAACAGGUGGGCGUCCGGUGGAAACUGUGUGGCUUGGGACCGGAAGGCGCGACGGGUACGUCCGGGGUAGGAGUGAAAUCCUGUAAUCCUGGACGGACCGCCGAUGGCGAAAGCACGUCGCGAAAACGGAUCCGACAGUGAGGGACGAAAGCUAGGGUCUCGAACCGGAUUAGAUACCCGGGUAGUCCUAGCCGUAAACACUGCCUGCUAGGUGUGGCACCCACUACGAGUGGGUGCUGUGCCGUAGGGAAGCCGCUAAGCAGGCCGCCUGGGAAGUACGUCCGCAAGGAUGAAACUUAAAGGAAUUGGCGGGGGAGCACUACAACCGGAGGAGCCUGCGGUUUAAUUGGAUUCAACGCCGG
rnacentral:rRNA from 1 species